rnacentral:rRNA from 1 species
UACGUAGGGGGCAAGCGUUGUCCGGAUUUAUUGGGCGUAAAGCGUGCGCAGGCGGUGAUGUAAGACAGGUGUGAAAUCCCCCGGGCUUAACCUGGGAACUGCAUUUGUGACUGCAUGGCUGGAGUGCGGCAGAGGGGGAUGGAAUUCCGCGUGUAGCAGUGAAAUGCGUAGAUAUGCGGAGGAACACCGAUGGCGAGGCAAUCCCCUGGGCCUGCACUGACGCUCAUGCACGAAAGCGUGGGGAGCAAACAGG